rnacentral:rRNA from 1 species
ACAGCAGUCGCCGCGGUAACACGUAGGUGGCAAGCGUUGUCCGGAAUUAUUGGGCGUAAAGGGCUCGCAGGCGGUUUCUUAAGUCUGAUGUGAAAGCCCCCGGCUCAACCGGGGAGGGUCAUUGGAAACUGGGAAACUUGAGUGCAGAAGAGGAGAGUGGAAUUCCACGUGUAGCGGUGAAAUGCGUAGAGAUGUGGAGGAACACCAGUGGCGAAGGCGACUCUCCGGUCUGUAACUGACGCUGAGGAGCGAAAGCGUGGGGAGCGAACAGGAUUAGAUACCCCCGUAGUCCCUGUCUCUUAUAC